rnacentral:rRNA from 1 species
GAUGAACGCUAGCGAUAGGCUUAACACAUGCAAGUCGAGGGGCAGCACAAGGUAGCUUGCUAUCUGGGUGUCGACCGGCGCACGGGUGCGUAACGCGUAUGCAACUUGUCCUAUACUGGAGGAUAACCCGUCGAAAGACGGUCUAAUCCUGCGUAUGCUUACAACUUGUCAUCAAGUGGUGAGGAAAGAAAUUCGUUAUAGGUUAGGCAUGCUUCCCAUUAGCUUGUUGGUUAGGUAACGGCUCACCAAGGCAACGAUGGGUAGGGGAACUGAGAGGUUUAUCCCCCACACUGGUACUGAGACACGGACCAGACUCCUACGGGAGGCAGCAGUGAGGAAUAUUGGGCAAUGGGCGGGAGCCUGAACCAGCCAAGUCGCGUGAAGGAGGACUGUCUUAUGGAUUGUAAACUUCUUUUAUACGGGAAUAACAAGAGUCACGUGUGACUCCCUGCAUGUACCGUAUGAAUAAGCAUCGGCUAACUCCGUG